UGGGCUGACAGACAGAGCAAGGACGGUGUCCUGAGCUUUGGCUUGGCUGCUGGAUGGGGAAUAAUUCUUGUGGGCCCCUUUCUGCUUGCGUGAGCGUUUUCGGAGCAUCUUCAGAAGCACCAUCUCUCCUCUGUCGUAUUAUUUUUGUUUGUAAAUCCUGGCUGAAGAAGGAUCUCAGCUCCAACAUAAAGCUCCAUCUGACCCGAGCAGUACGGGGCAAAUCUGGGAUCAAGCUUGUGAAGAAAAUAGGUUUAUUAGCCUUAUAAAUUGAAUCUGGAGUUCUUGGUGCAAGUAAACUAGUAUCCUCCCAAGUGAUUCUGCUUUAAUGUGCGUCGUCAAAGCUGCAGGUCUCACAGAUGUGAUAAAACCUGGACGUACCAGAGGUGGACAGCCUGGUUUCAGUGUGCUUCUGCCCAGCCUAGAAGAGCUCCCUCAGCAACACCACAACUUCUCUCCCUAACGAUGGAGGGAGGUUCCCAGUAUAUUCCCAGAUUCCUCCAGUUAAAAUCUUCCCACCCACAGACAACCCAGUGCAUCCCUUUGGAGAAGAAAACGCAAGGGGAAAUCCAGAGAUGAUGUUUGGCUUCCUGCUGCUGAGAUAAAUAGAAGAGGUGGGUUGCUGCCUUUGGGAAGAUUGUGUCAGCAGCCACAAACAGCCCCGUCCCGCACAUAUCCUGCUCGUCUCUUCUUUGAUCUCAAAAGCCCUCCAACCCCCAUGAGCAUCACCCCUCUUCCACCUUACUGCAGCGUGCGCAAUUUACGUGGCAGCGCUCUCCAACGCCAGGCAGCCGGGAAGUCUCCAGCUGAAACCUCUCCACAAGCUGAUGGGAAGCGGCGAGACCCACACUGCCUUCAUCACUGUCAUCCCCAUCAAUGGAGCCAAAGGGUCAGAAAACUUCUCCCCCCCCUCUCCUUGUGGUCUCUAUUUUGGGUUCCAGUGCUGCAGCAGCAUUCAUCUUCGUUACAUCCAUGGCAUGCCAUCAGCUCGCAGGUGAUGAGGAAAAGCAGAUGCUGUUUGUGGUGAGCCAGUUGUUCUCCCAUUUGUACAUCCCAAAACGAGUUUCAAGAUUCCAAGCAUGCUUCACACUGUAGGGUUCUGUACAAGGAACCCUCGGAGGCAAAGUGUGCAGUGCACAGUGUCUGGGAAGGAUACAACCUUAGGAGUGAACGCAGUGUGGGGAACAGAAAAAAUCAGCAA